rnacentral:misc_RNA from 1 species
GAAAUGCGAUAAGUAAUGUGAAUUGCAGAAUUCAGUGAAUCAUCGAAUCUUUGAACGCACCUUGCGCUCCUUGGUAUUCCUUGGAGCAUGCCUGUUUGAGUAUCAUGAAAUCUUCAAAGUAAAUCUUUUGUUAACUCAAUUGGUUUCUACUUUGGUAUUGGAGGUCUUUGCAGCUUCACACCUGCUCCUCUUUGUUCAUUAGCUGGAUCUCAGUGUUAUGCUUGGUUCCACUCGGCGUGAUAAGUUAUCUAUCGCUGAGGACACUGUAAAAGGUGGCCAAGGUAAAUGCAGAUGAACCGCUUCUAAUAGUCCAUUGACUUGGACAAUACUUUUAUGAUCUGAUCUCAAAUCAGGUAGGAGUACCCGCUGAACUUAAGC